rnacentral:rRNA from 1 species
AGUGAACGCUGGCGGUAGGCCUAACACAUGCAAGUCGAACGGCAGCACAGUAAGAGCUUGCUCUUACGGGUGGCGAGUGGCGGACGGGUGAGGAAUACAUCGGAAUCUACUUUUUCGUGGGGGAUAACGUAGGGAAACUUACGCUAAUACCGCAUACGACCUACGGGUGAAAGCAGGGAUCUUCGGACCUUGCGCGAUUGGAUGAGCCGAUGUCGGAUUAGCUAGUUGGCGGGGUAAAGGCCCACCAAGGCGACGAUCCGUAGCUGGUCUGAGAGGAUGAUCAGCCACACUGGAACUGAGACACGGUCCAGACUCCUACGGGAGGCGGCAGUGGGGAAUAUUGGACAAUGGGCGCAAGCCUGAUCCAGCCAUACCGCGUGGGUGAAGAAGGCCUUCGGGUUGUAAAGCCCUUUUGUUGGGAAAGAAAAGCAGCAGGUUAAUACCCCGCUGUUCUGACGGUACCCAAAGAAUAAGCACCGGCUAACUUCGUG